rnacentral:rRNA from 1 species
UACAGAGGUCCCAAGCGUUGUUCGGAUUCAUUGGGCGUAAAGGGUGCGUAGGUGGCGCCGUAAGUCAGGUGUGAAAUCUCGGGGCUUAACUCCGAAACUGCAUUUGAUACUGCGGUGCUUGAGGACUGGAGAGGAGACUGGAAUUUACGGUGUAGUGGUGAAAUGCGUAGAUAGCGGAAGGAAGACCAGUGGAGAAGGCGGGUCUCUGGACAGUUCCUGACACUGAGGCACGAAGGCCAGGGGAGCAAACGGG